UACGGGGGGGGCAAGCGUUGUUCGGAAUUACUGGGCGUAAAGGGCUCGUAGGUGGCCAACUAAGUCAGACGUGAAAUCCCUCGGCUUAACCGGGGAACUGCGUCUGAUACUGGAUGGCUUGAGUUCGGGAGAGGGAUGCGGAAUUCCAGGUGUAGCGGUGAAAUGCGUAGAGAUCGAGCGGAACACCAGUGGCGAAGGCGAGUUCCUGGACAAGUCCUGACACUGAGGCACGAAAGCCAGGGAGCAAACAGG
rnacentral:rRNA from 1 species